UGUCGUGGCCAUACCAGCCUGUCAUUGUCCGAUCUUGUUAGAUCUUGGAAGCUAAGCAGGUCUGGGCCUGGUUAGUAGUUGGAUGGGAGACCACUGAGAAUUCCAGGUGCCACAGUGG
rnacentral:rRNA from 1 species